UUUGUUUCAGUAUGUCCCUCUGAUUAUCUGUAUGAAUGCAUGCCAACUGAGAGGAAGUAUUGUAAUAAGGAACCUAAUUUAGGUGUCAAUUGAAGUUGGGAAUAAGAUUUACUGCUGUUCAUUCUUUGGAAUAAUCUGGGGUUGAUUAGUGUUUUCAAACUACAUCUGCCAGUUAAUAUGAUGUUCAACUAUUUUCUAUAUAAGAGGAAAAAUAAAAAAUCUGAUAUAAAAGGGUUUUUUAAAGACUCAGUUGGUGAAUUUAUAUGCACAGGAAAAGAGACUUCUGUAGAUCUUUAAGGAGCAAGUGUCAAGAGGUUUCUAGAAAAAAGAAAAGAGAUAGAGAAGGAAAGAAAGAUCUACAAAUUACCAACACAGUUUAAGUUUAGAGCAGGGAACUGGUAACAUAGUAACUGACCAAAAAAAAAAAAAAAAAAAAAAGAAAAGAAAAAGAAAAAAAAAACCAAACUAUGCCAGAAGCAUCCCUUUUAAGGAAGUAAGAUUGUACUCAAAUUCUUGUAGUGUCAUCUGUUGGUACUUGAGGAUCUGAGGGACCCCUGCAAGCAUAUUCUUCAGAAUCCAGAUUAGGGGAAGAGGUUACACUUUGGAUGCAAAGUUACUGCUGUAUUCAUCUUAAUAAAUCAAAUUAAGUUACUUGGCAGAACACCAACUGUGACCCACCCAUUUCUGAGGAAAUGACCAGAGGUCAAAGAUGAUUAUUUUCAUCUUUUAUAAUUGAAGAAAUAUUUGUCUUAUUUUCUAUUGCUCAAGGUUGGCAUUUUCUUCCUCCUGGCAUGUUGCCUCUAAAGCUCUGCGCCAUUUUCACCACAAAGUUCCCUGGAUUCUUCAGAGACAUGGAACCAAUAGAAUAUGAGAAGCCGAAGUAACUUGGUCCCGGUCACGUGCCUGGUUCUCAGCAGAUCUAGUUUUGAGGCACUAUUGGACUCCAAAGCCAUGCUUUUUCCUCCUUCCCAGUCUACCUCUGGUGCUGAAUGCAGAUUUGGGGAGCUGUGGAGUAAACAACACGGGACACUUAAAGACUUCACGCCAUCUUCCCCGGGAGUCGGUGCCAUCUCAGGAAACCAUGGUCUUUGCUCAUCCAUAAGAAGCAACUCCUCAUCUGUUCAAGUCUAUCAUAAGAUGACAGUAGUUCAGCCACAUCUUCAGGCCCCACUUCUGAUUCUAGUUCUCUUGCUGUUUUCACCACAUCCGCAAUUCCUUCCUCCACCAGAGUCCUGAGCUCCUCAAGGACAUACCAUGAGCAUGGAAAUAAACUUCUUUCAAAUUCCUGUUCAUGUUGAUAUUUUGACCUCUUUCCCUGAAUCAGGAAUGUUCUGAAGGGCGUGUAGAAUGGCGAAUUCAUUCCAGAAGGUUUUCAGUUGACUUUGGCUAGAUCCAUCAGAGGAAUACUAUCUCUGGCAGCUCUAGGCUUACGAAAUCUAUUUCUUAAAUAAUAAGACUUGAAAGUUGAAAUGACCCCUUGAUCCGUUAGCCACAGAAUGGACGUUGUGUGAGCAGGCAUGAAAACAACAUUCAUCUCACCGGACAUCUCCAUCAGAGGUCCUGGGUGACCACGUACACUGUCGAUAAGCAGGAAUAUUUUGAAAGGAAUCUUUUCUUCUGAGCAGUAAGUCUCGACAAUUGGCUUUAAAUAUUCAGUAAACCAUGCUGUCAACAGCUGUGCUAUCACCCAGGCUUUGUGGUUCCAUUUACAGAGCACAGGCAGAGUAGACCUAGCAUAAUUCUUAAGGGUCCUGGGACUUCUGGAAUAGUGAACGACCAUAGGCUUCAACUUCAAGUCACCAGCUGCAUCAACCCCUAACAAGAGAGUCAGCCCAUCUUUUGAAAGUUUAAGGUCUCUGGCUGUGAAAGUCCUGGAUGGCCUCUUCUUCCAGUAGGAGCCUAGCUGCUUCCCCUACAUUGAAAAUACGCUGUUUAGGGCCAC